AGGUGCGGCCGGGGCCGCGGACAAUGUGCCAUCACCUCUGCCGCCGGAAAGCCCCGGGGCUGGACGGCGGGGGGACCCCGAGGCACCCAGGGUGGCCUGCAACCUCCAGCAAGAAAGGAACAUUUUCAGUGGCGCUGGGGCGGCUUCUCGCGGGUUGAGGCCGGGAUGUUAGUUUGCCGAGCGGGGGUCACACAGGUAAAGCAGGACGAGGGGGCUCUCCGUGCCGACACAAGCCGCGUGGGCGUCCCAGCGAACCGACCCGAAAGGCAUCCAACCUGGCAGGAGGAAGGAAGACUGUUUGCCGAUGACGGGAUCCCGCGUGUAGAAAACCCUCCAGGAGUCACGAGAAGCCUGUUCCAACAAGCGCAGCCGGCGAAGGAGCCCGACGCAAAGGCGGCGCGGGGGUCCCACUGCGUUUCCGGCCCUCGUGGCGAACUCCCGGAAGGGAAGUUGCGAAAUCAAUUUCCUCUUCGAUAACAUCAAAAAGAAUGAAAUACUUAGGAGUUAAGGUAUCCAAGGAGACCACAGAUUUGCACAGUGGAAAGAAAUUAUGGACGACGUGAGCAUGUCCCAAGUUCACGGACUGGGAAAUGCCCGUGGAGUCUCGAGGGACCCCCAGUGGCGGAAAAAAUUGACAGGGAGGGGGGGCAGGCCCGGGAGCAGACAGGUGAGGCUGGAGGCCAGCCUCCCAGCUCGCAGCCCCCAGCCCUGCUUCUGGGCUCAGGGGCUCCAGACGUCCCCCUCCCCCGGGGGCUGCUGAGGGCUUCGCAGGUGACCCCUCACCCCCCCCCCCCCCCCGGGGCCCCCCCCCCCCCCCCCCCCCCCCCGAGGAGCCGGUUCCUGCACACGUGAUGGUGUGCAGGUGGGUGUGUGGUGUGUUUGUGUGUGCACACGUGUGCAGCCACGCAUGCGUGUGAAGGUGAGCAAGGCCUGGUCUCCGGGUGGGUGCUGGCGGGGCUGGUGUGGAAGGCUUCACCGAGGCCUCGUCCCCCUCCCCGCUGGGCGGCAGGUGAGGGGCAGGAAGUGGACACGGCGCCUGCCUCUGGCCUGGAUUUUCUAUGAGGGGGAGAAGCGGCCCCUGCUGCCCCCGGGGAGCCCGUCAGAGCUUCACGCCUUCCCCCCGCCCCCCCCCCAGCAUAACCUCUGCCGUGGGCCAGCUGCACCCCUGCACCCCCGCCCUCUGGCCUGGCCCCACCUCACCACAGGCAGCUGACCUGUAGUGCCCUGAGGCCCCGGGUCUCCUCUGGGCAGCCCUCCGCGCCCCCCCCCCCCCCGCCUAGCCGUCCCCUGGGCGAUGCCCAGCUCCUGCCUCCGCCUCCCCUCCUGCCCGUAUCCAGUGGGUCCCGGCCCCUGCUCUCUGUCUCCUGGUGCUGGGGCCGCAGGCCUGGACGCCGCCCUCUGGCUCUGCCCUCGCCCUGACGAGGCAGGGCAGCGUGUGACGGAGCGCUCGGCCCCUCACAGAAAGGAUCUACUCGCCACCACACCCCCCCCCUCCCCGGGAGACCCUGCAGGCCCAGGGGGCACUCACCCCUCCCAGCCUCACUGUCCCUGUCCCUCUGCCCUGAUGCCCUUCCAGGCUCCAAGUCCUUCUGCAAUGCUUCUGGUCACACUCCCGGGGUGGCCACAGCGGCCUCUCUCUGGCGCCCGCUGACGUGAGGGGGCCCCCUCCGUGGGCUGUGGGCUCCCGGAGGACCCGCCUGGUCUCCAGAAGCUGCGCAGGGUGGUGCACAGGGCAGGGGCUCUGUAAGCACCCCGGCCUGGCAUCCUGGGCCCCCUCCCCGCCAUCCCAUCCCCCCAAGCUGGGCGUUACCAGACUGCUGAGACCUGAGGCUGGCUAGAGGCCCUGCAGAGGAAACCAAAUUGCUUCCUGUCAGGCGGCCUGUGUGCCCGGCCCGCUCUCCUCAUGGGGACGUGGGCAGAGCGAUUCCCAGCCCUCCCCUGGUGCCCACAGGCCGGCAGGCUCUCUGGAAGCACCGUCACUGCCAACGUUUGGGGCCAGGCAUCGGCAGACACAGCAGAGAUCACGCCUUCCAGUCUCCCCUGCAGCCAGGCGUGGCCACAGCACCGCAUUCCCCAGGACGCAGGGCUGGAAGGACUGGGCCGGAAGUCUGGGACGCCUCCUUACAGGCGGGGGGCUCCACCAUCCUCCGCUGUCCUCCUUCCUGAUGCCUGAAAUACAGCUGUGAAGGCCGGAGCUCAAGCAGCCACCUUUGACCACGAGAUCAGGCACCAGCUUCCCAAGGCUGUGGACGCUUCCGUGUCAGCUCCGAGAGAGAAGACCCCUGUGUGUUGAGUGUGUUCAUCCGUGGGGGUGGGGGCAGGCUGUCCUGGGCUGAAGGAGGGUUCAUGGUUCACACUCAGCGUGUGGCCCGGUGGCAACGAGGGUUUCAAAAUCACUGAGCUCUUGAGAUGGCCCCUCUCGGAAGCCCCGUUGCUCCCCCGCCUCCUCCCUCUCAGGGCCACUCUCUUCAGAGCCGCGUCUGAGGGAACUCCUGUCCUUUUAGGAGGAAGCCCCCGCAGCCCCCUGCCUUCCCCUCCUCCAUCACGACGGCCGAAGGCGGCAGAGCCACAGGAGGGUGGGGAGACGCGAGGAGUCAGGGAGGCUGGAAGGACCAUUCGGAGCAGCAGAAACUGAGCAUCCCAGCAAACAGGACCAGGCCACCGCGGACAGACCGACGCCCACGACAAGGGAGGGUUUGUGCCAGGCACGUGGCGUGGGCAACCGACGGAGCAAGUGCACCUCGAGGGCAGGUCUAGGGAGACAAACCGUAAGAUCAACCCCACAGAGGCAGCGUGGGCAACUGCUCAGAUUUGGGGCAAGUUUGGCAUCUUUCAGAACGAUGACCGUGCCUCACGGAGACACGCUGGAGAUCCGGAGACCCGUGAGCCUCAUCCCCCAGGCCCCGGCAGCCGGCGGGCGACAGCAGCCCAGCGUUUUUCGACACGGGAAUGGACACGCGGGGUGCGGUCCACCCGCACGCUGGGCGUCCCGACACCUGCUCCGGCACAGGUGAGCCCUGAGGACGCUACGCCGAGUGACACACACCCGUCUGUCUGAGCCUGUCUGAGGGGGACAAAGCCUGUCUGAGCCACAAAUAGAAGGUCCCCAGACUGGCUAGCUUCGUGGACACGGACAGCAGAGUGAUGCCGGCCGGGGAAGGGCUGUUUGUGUUUCACGGGGACAGGGCUUCAGCCUGGGACCUUGGACGUGUCCUGGAGGCGGUGGUGGCAGUGGCCAGUGUCGAUGUACUUAAUGCCACUGAGGCAUACACGGAGAAGCGGUCGGAACUGUAGGUUUUGUGAUACCUAGGAUUUCCCACAUUCGAACAGACCGAUGAGUCCUUGAUGAGAGAGAGAGAGACUCUGAGUGCUCAGCCACCUCUGGAGAGCUUCCCAGAGGAACAUGCUGGGUGACGGUGCCUCCCACACACGCUGGCCAGCGGAUGCGCGUGGAAGCAUCACGGAAGUGCAAAAUCGGCACUUAGCGAAGCAGGUGAAGUGUUGCCUUGGCGGGACUCCGAGUGACGCUAAGGCUCCCAGGGUGAGU